UACGAAGGGUGCGAGCGUUAAUCGGAAUUACUGGGCGUAAAGCGUGCGCAGGCGGUUCGUUGUGUCGGCGGUGAAAGCCCCGGGCUUAACCUGGGAAUGGCCGUUGAAACUGGCGAACUGGAGUGUGGCAGAGGGGGGUGGAAUCCGCGUGUAGCAGUGAAAUGCGUAGAGAUGCGGAGGAACACCGAUGGCGAAGGCAGCCCCCUGGGCUAACACUGACGCUCAGGCACGAAAGCGUGGGGAGCAAACAGG
rnacentral:rRNA from 1 species